CAAAGUGGGUAUAGGGACUAGGUGGGCUUAUAGGUUUGGCGGGAACGCCAUAUUGGAGAAAAAUUUGACAGGAGGGGAUUCGAUUGCGAUACGUAUCUAUUCACUCACACUACGAAACACAAAUAGCAAGCUGUGAGUUUGUUUACUUUUGCAAAUGAAACGAUUGCAAAUAUUCCUGAGUUAAAAAUAUCAAAGAACUCCGUUGUGAUCGGGUUAAGUAUCGAAUAUUUCUUUUAAAAAGUGAAAAAGAACCAAAAGAGAUAAGGGGCAACGCAAUAUUAAAUUGUUUUCGUUUGUAUUUCCCAAAUUUCAGCAUUGUUUGUCGAGUCCAUACAGCGCUUUUUUACUGAUCUGGACAAUCUGGUACGGGUAUGAUUCAUGUUGCAGUACAAACAUUAAAAGAUUAUAAAGCUAAUAAGCCUCCUCAGUGCGAACCAUGUAUCUAAAGGUGCUGGAAACGAAAAGUUAUGCUCGUCAAGUAGCCAUGCCACUCAUAAAUAAGUUUGGCAACUAAUAGCAUGAUAGAUAUUUUUUUACCAUGAAGGUAUAAAUGUUUAUUCUUUACCAAAUCAUGACCUGCCAUCUCAAUAGAGGACAUGUAAACAAGGAGAAGAAAAAGGACAAAUAUGAAGUCAUUGUAAUCGACGCAAUGGAGGAAAACAAAGAAGUAUACCAUGGACCUAGGUUAUGGAAGUAUUUUUUAUCCAUCUACUUAAUCAUCGGAAUAUCCUGAAGAGUAAUAAUCCGGAAUAGGAAAGAGAGCGCUGUAAAGCCCCUAUCGGUUAAUUAUAACGUACAUCAAAACACA